rnacentral:tRNA from 1 species
GGGUUCGUAGCUGAGAGGUGUAGCUACCGGCUGUUAACCGGUGUACGUGGGUUCGAGUCCCACCGGGCCCUC